CAGGAAGGUCAGCCAAGAAAGCAGCCGUAGGUGCCAGCGUGAAAUCUACAGGAACUACAAUUACUUCAACAGUGAGCCGCUGGAACAAGGUGAAUGACAGACGCUGCUUCACACAGAGUGAUGCUGAGACUGGCUUAGGCUUGCAGCACCACUGAAGACUUACACGGCUCUAGACAAUGACUAUUAGGCCCAAGACCAGCGAACAGUGAUCAACUGACCUCUGAGACAGGUUGUAUCUGACAGAGAGAGGACCACCGCCACGCUCCAGCCSCGCUCCAACCCACUGGUUCGUUAGUAUCAACAGUGAGUGAAUCACCCAGCUUUGGCCCGUCCGGCGUUACCUGUACAUGGAGACCCCCAGCUG